rfam:Schistosoma rodhaini strain Burundi genome assembly, scaffold: SROB_scaffold0000793
AUCCAGCUGACGAGUUCAAAAAUAGGACGAAACGCGUGUCCUGAAU